UCUUCACCCUACUGGGCUUAGCAAUUGGUGCUUUGGAGUACUUCUAUGCCCCCUACUGGCGUGUGAGAAAGGUACCUGGUCCUCCCACCACUCCACUCGUAGGUCACCUACCCUUGCUUGCAAAGCAUGGUCCUGAUGUCUUCAGUCUCCUUGCCAAACGCUAUGGGCCCAUCUUUAGAUUUCAAAUGGGUAGGCAGCCGUUGGUGAUAAUAGCAGACCCAGAACUGUGUAGAGAGGCUGGGAUAAAGAAAUUCAAGGAUUUGAGC